rnacentral:rRNA from 1 species
AGAGUUUGAUCCUGGCUCAGGAUGAACGCUAGCUACAGGCUUAACACAUGCAGGUCGAGGGGCAGCAUGGUCUUAGCUUGCUAAGGCCGAUGGCGACCGGCGCACGGGUGAGUAACACGUAUCCAACCUGCCGUCUACUCUUGGACAGCCUUCUGAAAGGAAGAUUAAUACAAGAUGGCAUCAUGAGUCCACAUGUUCACAUGAUUAGAGGUAUUCCGGUAGACGAUGGGGAUGCGUUCCAUUAGAUAGUAGGCGGGGUAACGGCCCACUUAGUCUUCGAUGGAUAGGGGUUCUGAGAGGAAGGUCCCCCACAUUGGAACUGAGACACGGUCCAAACUCCUACGGGAGGCAGCAGUGAGGAAUAUUGGUCAAUGGGCGAGAGCCUGAACCAGCCAAGUAGCGUGAAGGAUGACUGCCCUAUGGGUUGUAAACUUCUUUUAUAAAGGAAUAAAGUCGGGUAUGCAUACCCGUUUGCAUGUACUUUAUGAAUAAGGAUCGGCUAACUCCGUGCCAGCAGCCGCGGUAAUACGGAGGAUCCGAGCGUUAUCCGGAUU